GAUGGGCUCGCGGCCUAUCAGCUAGUUGGUAAGGUAACGGCUUACCAAGGCGACGACGGGUAACUGGUCUGAGAGGAUGAUCAGUCACACUGGAACUGAGACACGGUCCAGACACCUACGGGUGGCAGCAGUCGAGAAUCAUUCACAAUGGGCGAAAGCCUGAUGGUGCGACGCCGCGUGGAGGAUGACAGCCCUAGGGUUGUAAACUCCUGUCAUGAGAGAGUAAAGACUUACCGUUAAUACCGGUGGGUCCUGAUAGUAUCUCAAGAGGAAGGGACGGCUAACUUCGUGCCAGCAGCCGCGGUAAUACGAAGGUCCCAAGCGUUGUUCGGAAUUACUGGGCGUAAAGCGUGCGUAGGCGGCAUGGUAAGUCAGAUGUGAAAUCCCGGGGCUCAACCUCGGAACUGCAUCCGAUACUGCCAAGCUAGAGUAGUGGAGGGGAGUCUGGAAUUCACGGUGUAGCAGUGAAAUGCGUAGAUAUCGUGAGGAACACUAGUGGCGAAGGCGAGACUCUGGACACUAACUGACGCUGAGGCACGAAGGCUAGGGUAGCGAAAGGGAUUAGAUAC
rnacentral:rRNA from 1 species